AUUGAACGCUGGCGGCAGGCCUAACACAUGCAAGUCGAACGAGUGGCGGACGGGUGAGUAAUGUCUGGGCAACUGCCUGAUGGAGGGGGAUAACUACUGGAAACGGUAGCUAAUACCGCCUACCAUCGGAUGUGCCCAGAGGGGAUUAGCUAGUAGGUGGGGUAAAGGCUAACCUGGGCGACGAUCCCUCGCUGGUCUGAGAGGAUGACCGGCCACACUGGAACUGGGACACGGUCCAGACUCCUACGGGAGGCAGCAUGGGGGAAUAUUGCACAAUGGGCGCAAGCCGGAGGCAGCCAGGCCGCGUGGGUGAAGAAGGCCUUCGGGUUGUAAAGCACGUUCAGCGAGGAGGCGGUACUCGCAGAAGAAGCACCGGCUAACUCCGUGCCAGCAGCCGCGGUAAUAC
rnacentral:rRNA from 1 species